UACGGAGGGUGCAAGCGUUGUCCGGAUUUAUUGGGUUUAAAGGGUGCGUAGGCGGUUUUUUAAGUCAGUGGUGAAAUCCUGCAGCUCAACUGUAGAACCGCCAUUGAUACUGAAAGACUUGAGUACAGACGAGGUAGGCGGAAUUUAUGGUGUAGCGGUGAAAUGCAUAGAUACCAUAAAGAACACCUAUUGCGAAGGCAGCUUACUAGGCUGUAACUGACGCUGAGGCACGAAAGCGUGGGGAUCAAACAGG
rnacentral:rRNA from 1 species